rnacentral:rRNA from 1 species
CAGCCGCCGCGGUAAUACGAAGGGUGCAAGCGUUAAUCGGAAUUACUGGGCGUAAAGCGUGCGUAGGCGGUGAGUUAAGUCUGCUGUGAAAUCCCCGGGCUCAACCUGGGAAUGGCAGUGGAUACUGGCUCGCUAGAGUGUGUCAGAGGAUGGUGGAAUUCCCGGUGUAGCGGUGAAGUGCGUAGAGAUCGGGAGGAACAUCAGUGGCGAAGGCGGCCAUUUGGGACAACACUGACGCUGAGGCACGAAAGCGUGGGGAGCAAACAGGAUUAGAUACCCCUGUAGUCCCUGUCUCUUAUAC